GUGACAACGGCAAGCUGGCUGCAACGAAGCCGCCCACGUAGGCCUCCCCGGCCUGCUGGAGGAGAGGGGAUCCCCCGGGGCAGAGGCGGCUACACCCGGAGAACCCGGAAACCGGAAGCGCAGAUCCUGCCGGCUCUGGACUAGCCGCUCAGCACCAGGGCGGAAGGAAGACGAGGCGAGGCAAGCGCCAAGCUUCCAUCCGGACUUCAAGGCCAGUGGCUGGGUCUGGUUUUCUCAACACGGCCUCCUAGUCUCCUUCCCGCUUGGGCAUCUGUUUUUCUUAUAUAGACCCUGAAGCCGCCCGUGAUGUUCUGUAAGCAGGUUCCGCUUCAGAAUCAGAGGUACUUAAGAGGGAACCUGGAUGCUAGACCUGCCCUUGCUGCUGGCCUCAGUUUCUUUACCUGUAAAACAGGGAUUUUGGAACUGUUAAAUUAAAUCAAACUUAAAAGAAUUACAACUUAAAGCUGCUGGAACUUUACAUGAUCCCGAGCCUUGAGAGGAAUGUGGCUAUGCAGCCUGAGUCAUGUGGCAUGCAGAUGCAACCUCUGCCUUUUUCCGCUGUAAAUAAUUAAGAAGACCAAGUAGCAUCCAAGAGUCACCUAAGCUGAAGAUUCCCUUGAGAACAAGUACUGUCCUGUGGUUUCAUGGCCUUUCUUCCAUUUGUGGUUCUUGCCAAGCGGAAUUUAAAUGACAUCUUAUCAAGAUGGAUAAACCCUAGUUUCCCAGUGCUGGAAUAUAGAAAAUGGAUGGACAAGUAAAUCCCACUCAGCACCCAUAGCCCAGGCAUGGGGACCUCAACACAUUUGAGCCGCAGAGAUCACCUUUCAUUGUGAAUAGCUCUGAGAUGAUACUUCUGGUUGAAUGUCUUUUUGUCACUUCCGGCUGGAUCUACCAUGAAAGAUUUCUGAAUCCAGGAAGAGAGAUUGACUGGGCAACAUGUUAUUCAGAAACAGGACCUUGCCCUGUCACUCAGGAUGGAGUUCAGUGGUCCAAUCAUGGCUCAUUGUAGCCUCAAACUCCCAGGCUCAAGCAAUCCUACCACGUCAGUCUUCCCAGUAGCUGACAGGGUCUCACUCUGUCGCCCAGGCUGGAGUGCAGUGGCAUGAUCUUGGCUCACUGUAGUGUAGACUUCCCAGCCUCAAGGGAUCCUCCCACCCCAGACUCCCAAGUAGCUGGAAUUACAGGUAUGCACCACCACCACACCUGGCUAAUAUUUUUCUUUUUUUUGGUAGACAUAUAGUCUCACUAUGUUGCGCUGACAGGUCUCCAACUCCUGGCCUCAAGUGAUCCUCCUGCCUAGGCUUCCCAAAUUGCUGGGAUUACAGGCAUGAGCCACAGUGCCUGGCCUCUGCUAGUUCUGUAUUCUCUAGAGUUGUCUUUACUUUGUGCUAGUGUGUCCCUCAUUAUGCUGAUCCUCUGCUAAAAUUAAUACUUUUUUUUUGAGAUGGAGUUUCACUCUUGUUGCCCAGGCUGGAUUGCCCAGGCUAGAGUGCAAUGGCACUAUCUUGGCUCACCGCAACCUCCACCUGCCGGGUUCAAGCGAUUCUCCUGCCUCAGCCUUCCGAGUAGCUGGGAGUAGCAUGUGCCACCAUGCCUAGCUAAUUUUGUAUUUUUAGUAGAGAUGGGGUUUCUCCAUGUUGGUCAGGCUGGUCUUGAACUCCUGACCUCAGGUGAUCCGCCUGCCUUGGCCUCCCAAAGUGCUGGGAUUACAGGCAUGAGCCAUGGUGCCUGGCCAAAAUUAAUACUUUCUAUAUUAAAUUUACAUAUAUAUAUUUUUUUUCUUUUUGAUACCAGGUCUCAUGCUCUCACUCAGGCUGCAGUACAGUGGCACAACCUCUACUCACUGCAGCCUCUACCUGCCAGGCUCAAGCAAUUCUCCUGACUUAGCCUCCCGAGUAGCUGGGAUUACAGGUAAGUGCCACCACACCAAGCUAAAUUUUGUGUUUUUUGUAGAGAUGGGGUUUCGCCAUGUUUCCCAGACUGGUCUCAAACUCCUGAGCUCAAAGCAAUUCACCCGCCUUGGCCUCCCAAAGUGCUGGGAUUACAGGUGUGAGCCACCUUGCUCAUUCUAGUUUAAACUUUUGAGUGGUUUGUGUCUCCUGAUUGGACUCCUACAAAUACAGAAUUGAUGGUAGGAAGGGUACCAGGAGAUAGACCCACACAGAUGGGAUUUGGGAAUAGGUUUGGUUAUCCAAGGAGCAGUGCUGAGCUCCUUGCUAAUGGGAUAUGGGAGGCUGGUGAUUUCCAGGAAGUGACCUCACAAUGACUCAAGCUACCACAUACUGUUCAUUGUGAAAUGCCAGUUGAAGCAUAUGUCCUGUGAGCUUAGGGGUGCUACAAGUUGACCACUGCAGCAGUAAAGAUGAUUCUGAAGAAUGGCAUGGGAUGGAUCCUUUCGAAUGCACUUGAGCAGCGGUCUCCAACCACAGGGCCACAGAGCUGGAGCUGGAUCUACCAUGAAAGACUUCUGAAUCCAGGAAGAGAGACUGACUGGGCAACAUGUUAUUCAGGAGAUGGGGUCUCACCCUGUCGCCCAGGCUUGAGUACAGUAGUGCUAUCACAGCUCACUGCAGCCUUGAACUCCUGGGCUAAGGAUCCUCCUACCUGAGCCUCCUGAGUAGCUGGGACUGGUCUCCCUCUGUUGUCCAAGGCUGGAGUGUAGUAGUGCUAUCACAGCUGACUGCAGCCUCAACCUUCCAGGCUGAAGCGAUCCUCCCAUCUCAACCUCCCACGUGGCUGAGACUACAGGCGCUUGCCACUAUGCCCAACUAAUAUUUGGAAUUUUCCUAUACGUGGAUUCCAGAGGGGUGACAGCGAAACGUGGGACCAUCCAGUUGCAGGAAAACGAGCUUAACACGCCCACUGAUUCUACAUUAUGCUCCUACCUCCCGGCAGCCUCUCCAGGCCCAGAACUUUCUCCAGUCGGCCUCCACAGACCAAGCUCAUGACUCACAAUGGCCUAUUUAGGCCCAUACCCUACCUCACGGCAGUCUCCGCAGAUGAGGCUACUGCCUCACAACAGCCUCCACAGGCACAGCUCCAUCGUUACAAUGGCCUCUUUAGACCCAGCUCCUGCCUCCCAGCCUUCUCUCUAGGCCCUGAACUUUCUCAAGUCGACGUCACCAGGCCCAGCUCAUGCUUCUUGGCAGCCUCUCCAGGCCCAGCUCUUCCUCCCGGCGGCCUCUGCAGGCCCAGACUGUCAUCAAGUCGGCCUGUCCAGGGCCAGCUCCUGCCUCCCGGCGCCCUCUGCAGGCCCAAGUCGUCCUCAAGUUGGCCUCCCCAGGCCCAGCUCCAGCCUCUCGGCGGCCUCUCCGGGUGCAAAAGUUCCUCGAGUCAGCCUCUCCAGGCCCAGCUCCUCC
rnacentral:lncRNA from 10 species